UAAGAAUUUGGCGGUAUCUUAUAAAACCAGGGGAACCUGUCUCAUAACUCGAUAGUCCCCGACUACCAAACCCCCGUUAGAAACCCAGCUUGUAUACUGCCGUUGUAAGCACACCCCUAAGAGAAAGUGUGCCACUACGAUUAAAUGAUUAUUAACUCGCGCACAUCAGGUCAAAGUGCAGCUAAUGUGGGGGAGAUGAUGGGUUACAACCUUAAAAAAGACACGGACUAAAAAAUAAAAAUAAUUAUAAAGGAGGACUUGGAUGUAAUUAAAUAGCACCAUAAAUUAAUGAA
rnacentral:rRNA from 1 species